rnacentral:rRNA from 1 species
CGGAAAGGCCCUUCGGGGUACUCGAGUGGCGAACGGGUGAGUAACACGUGGGUGAUCUGCCCUGCACUUCGGGAUAAGCCUGGGAAACUGGGUCUAAUACCGAAUAGGACCAUGGCAUGCAUGUGCUGUGGUGGAAAGCUUUUGCGGUGUGGGAUGGGCCCGCGGCCUAUCAGCUUGUUGGUGGGGUGAUGGCCUACCAAGGCGACGACGGGUAGCCGGCCUGAGAGGGUGUCCGGCCACACUGGGACUGAGAUACGGCCCAGACUCCUACGGGAGGCAGCAGUGGGGAAUAUUGCACAAUGGGCGCAAGCCUGAUGCAGCGACGCCGCGUGGGGGAUGACGGCCUUCGGGUUGUAAACCUCUUUCAGUAGGGACGAAGCGCGAGUGACGGUACCUACAGAAGAAGCACCGGCCAACUACGUGCCAGCAGCCGCGGUAAUACGUAGGGUGCGAGCGUUGUCCGGAAUUACUGGGCGUAAAGAGCUCGUAGGUGGUUUGUCGCGUUGUUCGUGAAAACUCACAGCUUAACUGUGGGCGUGCGGGCGAUACGGGCAGACUGGAGUACUGCAGGGGAGACUGGAAUUCCUGGUGUAGCGGUGGAAUGCGCAGAUAUCAGGAGGAACACCGGUGGCGAAGGCGGGUCUCUGGGCAGUAACUGACGCUGAGGAGCGAAAGCGUGGGGAGCGAACAGGAUUAGAUACCCUGGUAGUCCACGCCGUAAACGGUGGGUACUAGGUGUGGGUUU